rfam:Salmo salar isolate Sally breed double haploid chromosome ssa06, whole genome shotgun sequence.
AGCCCUGUGGCUCAGUUGGUAGAGCAUGGUGUUAGCAACGCCAGCAUGGUGUGUGCAACGUCAGGGUUGUGGGUUCGGUUCCCACGGGGGGCCA